rnacentral:rRNA from 1 species
AAAGGUCUCUUCGGAGACACUCGAGUGGCGAACGGGUGAGUAACACGUGGGUGAUCUGCCCUGCACUUCGGGAUAAGCCUGGGAAACUGGGUCUAAUACCGGAUAGGACCAUGAGAUGCAUGUCUUAUGGUGGAAAGCUUUUGCGGUGUGGGAUGGGCCCGCGGCCUAUCAGCUUGUUGGUGGGGUCACGGCCUACCAAGGCCACGAUGCGUAGCCGACCUGAGAGGGUGAUCGGCCACACUGGGACUGAGACACGGCCCAGACUCCUACGGGAGGCAGCAGUAGGGAAUCUUCCGCAAUGGACGAAAGUCUGACGGAGCAACGCCGCGUGAGUGAUGAAGGUUUUCGGA